ACGCUCGACACCUACGGGAAGCAGCAGUCGGGAAUAUUGCGCAAUGGAGGAAACUCUGACGCAGUGACGCCGCGUAUAGGAAGAAGGUUUUCGGAUUGUAAACUAUUGUCGUUAGGGAAGAUACAAGACAGUACCUAAGGAGGAAGCACCGGCUAACUAUGUGCUAGCAGCCGCGGUAAUCUGAGCGGGCUGGCAAGGC
rnacentral:rRNA from 1 species